AGCAUAUCAAUAAGCGGAGGAAAAAGAUACUAACCAAAGGAUCCCCUAGUAACUGCGAGUGAAGCGGGAAAAGCUCAAAUUUAAAAUCUGGCGGCUUUACCGUCCGAGUUGUAGUCUGGAGAAGUGCUUUCCGCGCUGGACCGUGUAUAAGUCUCUUGGAAUAGAGCGUCAUAGAGGGUGAGAAUCCCGUCUUUGACACGGACUACCAGUGCUUUGUGAUGCGCUCUCAAAGAGUCGAGUUGUUUGGGAAUGCAGCUCAAAAUGGGUGGUAAACUCCAUCUAAAGCUAAAUAUUGGCGAGAGACCGAUAGCGAACAAGUACCGUGAGGGAAAGAUGAAAAGCACUUUGGAAAGAGAGUUAAACAGUACGUGAAAUUGCUGAAAGGGAAACACUUGAAGUCAGUCGCGUUGUUCAGAACUCAGCCUUGCUUCCGCUUGGUGCACUUUCUGGAUGACGGGCCAGCAUCAAUUUUGACCGUUGGAAAAGGGUUGGGGGAAUGUGGCACCUUCGGGUGUGUUAUAGCCUUCAGUCGCAUACAACGGUUGGGAUUGAGGACCGCAGCGCGCCGCAAGGCAGGGGUUCGCCCACUUUCGCGCUUAGGAUGCUGGCAUAAUGGCUUUAAAUGACCCGUCUUGAAACACGGACCAAGGAGUCUAACAUGCCUGCGAGUGUUUGGGUGGAAAACCCGAGCGCGUAAUGAAAGUGAAAGUUGAGACCUCUGUCGUGGAGGGCAUCGACGCCCGGACCUGACGUUCUCUGACGGUUCCGCGGUAGAGCAUGUAUGUUGGGACCCGAAAGAUGGUGAACUAUGCCUGAAUAGGGUGAAGCCAGAGGAAACUCUGGUGGAGGCUCGUAGCGAUUCUGACGUGCAAAUCGAUCGUCAAAUUUGGGUAUAGGGGGCGAAAGACUAAUCGAACCAUCUAGUAGCUGGUUCCUGCGAG
rnacentral:rRNA from 1 species